CGAUUGAGUAGAUUUGACCAGAGGGAGAUCUGUUGUUGAAGUGAGGAGGUAGCAUCCCUAGGGUUUAAAGAGUUCGGUUGAAGAGAGUGUCGACGCCCUACUUAAACGAGGUUGAGAUGCCGAUCAGGGUCCUGCUCUUUCGUUUUCUUCCUUCUAAGUAGUUGAGACUCUCUCUGCUAGUGAAAGUUGCUUAAUUGAGCGAUACCCGACGGGGCAACAUGGGUGAUUGUUGAUCAGAUUCUUAGCUGCGGGUUCUCCACUUGUUAGGAUACCUGAUUUAGGUUGGGAUCUGAAUUGGGCCUAUUUAGUAUUUU
rnacentral:misc_RNA from 1 species